rnacentral:misc_RNA from 1 species
CCGGCGGCCGGGAACGAGUUCGCGCAGUUCGGCGCCGGGUGCUUCUGGGGCGUGGAGCUCGCGUUCCAGCGCGUCCCCGGCGUGACUCGCACCGAGGUGGGAUACAGCCAGGGGAACCUCCACGACCCGACCUACGAGGACGUCUGCACCGGCGCCACCUACCACAACGAGGUCGUCCGCGUCCACUACGACGUCUCCGCCUGCAAGUUCGACGACCUCCUCGACGUCUUCUGGGCGCGCCACGAUCCCACCACGCCCAACCGCCAGG